UACGUAGGGUGCAAGCGUUAAUCGGAAUUACUGGGCGUAAAGCGUGCGCAGGCGGUUGUGCAAGACCGAUGUGAAAUCCCCGGGCUUAACCUGGGAAUGGCAUUGGUGACUGCACGGCUAGAGUGUGUCAGAGGGGGGUAGAAUUCCACGUGUAGCAGUGAAAUGCGUAGAGAUGUGGAGGAAUACCGAUGGCGAAGGCAGCCCCCUGGGAUAAC
rnacentral:rRNA from 1 species